UACGGAGGGUGCAAGCGUUAUCCGGAUUCACUGGGUUUAAAGGGUGCGUAGGCGGGUUGGUAAGUCCGUGGUGAAAUCCCCAAGCUUAACUUGGGAACUGCCGUGGAUACUAUCAAUCUUGAAUAUCGUGGAGGUAAGCGGAAUAUGUCAUGUAGCGGUGAAAUGCUUAGAUAUGACAUAGAACUCCAAUUGCGUAGGCAGCUUACUACACGAUCAUUGACGCUGAGGCACGAAAGCGUGGGGAGUAAACAGG
rnacentral:rRNA from 1 species